UACGGAGGGUGCGAGCGUUGUCCGGAAUUACUGGGCGUAAAGGGCGCGUAGGCGGCCCGCUAAGUCGAACGUGAAAUCCCCGGGCUCAACCCGGGAACUGCGUCCGAUACUGGCAGGCUUGAAUCCGGGAGAGGGAUGUGGAAUUCCAGGUGUAGCGGUGAAAUGCGUAGAUAUCUGGAGGAACACCGGUGGCGAAGGCGGCAUCCUGGACCGGUAUUGACGCUGAGGCGCGAAAGCCAGGGGAGCAAACGGG
rnacentral:rRNA from 1 species